AAGAGGCUUGGUUAGUGUUUUGGAGUAAAAUAUGACUAGAUGUCAUGUGUAUGAGUGAGUAUAACAACUAGAACCGUUACCGGAGCUUAAAAGGCUAAGUAUUGUAUCCUUGUUAGAAGAAACAAAGACAAAGACUCAUACUUACUUCGGCUACACCAUCAAAGCUUUGAGAAGCAAGAAGAAGCUCGGUUAGUGUUUUGGAGUCGAAUAUGACUUGAUGUCACGUGUCUGAUUGAGUAUAAGAACUUAAACCGCAACCGUAUCUUAAAAGCCUAAGUAGUGUUUCCUUAUUAGAAAAUACAAAGCGAAAGACUCAUACGGAGUUUAGCUACACCGUCUAAGCUUUGAGAAGCAAGAAGAAGGUUGGUUAGUGUUUAGGAGUCAAAUAUGACUUGAUGUCAUGGGUAUGAGUGAGUAUAACAAGUAGAACCGUAACCAGAUCUUAAAAGCCUAAGUAUUGUAUCCUUGCUAGAAGAUACAAAGACAAAGACUCAUACGGACUUCGGCUACACCAUCAAAGCUUUGAGUAGCAAGAAGAAGCUUGGUUACUGUUUUGGAGUCAAAUAUGACG
rnacentral:sRNA from 1 species